rnacentral:pre_miRNA from 1 species
CCGUAAACUCCGUUUCAACUACUGCCGCAUGGUUCCAGUAUUGAAAGGUUGUUCACGAGC